GAGAGGGACAUCUUAUAUAGAGUUACGUAGUAAACCUUUAAUUCAAUCUCUACCCUUCAUUUGUAUCUUAUCCAACGGCUGUUAAUAUUUGUAUAAAAACUGAAAUUUUUUCCAGUCGACCGUUUGACCCAACGACUUUCUCUCUCUACUGUCUGUGUCUCUCGCUCAACGCUCUCUCUCUGCUCUCUCUCUCUCUCAAAGCUCUCUCUCGCACUUCUCUCUCUGCUCUCUCUCUCUCAAAUCUCUCUCUUGCACUUCUCUCUCUUCUCUCUCUCCUUCUCUCUCAACGCUAUUUCUUUCUCUCUCGCACUUUCUUUCUCUCUCGGAAUUUCUCUCUCUACUCUGUUUCUUGCAAACGAACUAUGGAUUAUUCUUACAAUGGAUCUGAAAGCAUGAAAUCAGUCGGUGAUGUUCCAAGUUCAUCAGGUGUAUUGUUUAUUCUAAUUGAUUUUCAUUUUUUCAAGCUGCAUAUUGUUGGAGAUUGUGUAAAGUUACAAUUUUACAGUCAUAUAUGUUGUUUAGUUAUUUUGAAUGUGAUUUCGGAUUGUAUUGUUGAACUUGUAUACUGGAUUGAUUAUAAUCUUGAUAAGUUGUUUAUGUUCUAUCGUAGAAUAGUAUUACACAUGAGAUUUGUAUGUUCUUGUAUCUUAUAAUUAAUUUGGAUUUGGAUUCUAAUGUAGAAUUGAUUUGUUGAUUUUAUAGUUUACUGUUUAAUUAACGCUUCUACUAUAGAAUCAGAUUAGGUGUUGGUGUUGUUAUCUGCAAUGUUUUUAAUAUUCAUUCUAGUGUGGAAUAAAAUUGUUGAUGUAUAGUUGAAUGUGUUAAACUUCUAAUAAAUAUAGUCCAUUUCAUGGUCCUAAUCAUUGCCAGAUAGAGUGCUGCGAUUAUUACACGAGAUUCGUGAUGAUAUUAGUGAACAAAAUGCAGUAAGGAAUGAAGUAUGGGUAACAUUUCCUAGACAAGAGCAAGCUAUUAGUUAUCAAAAAGAACAUAGCAAUGUUUUUAUUUUUAGCUAUCAAGACCAUGUUAAUGGUCAGAGGAGGUUUAGGUUCUCACUCAAGAUCGUCUUUACAGCUGGCAGGUUCAUCAAAAUGUGUUUUUUAGUUUUUGUGAAGAUGCUAGGGACUCAGCUCAUCAUUUGUUUUUUGAAUGUGCCUUCUGUUCUGAGGUUUUAAAGGCUUUUCAAUCCAAGGGAUAUUGUUUAUGGUAUGCUGGUGAUUGGGAGAUUUUUAUUCGUCGUGCUGCAGAAAAUUGGCGGGGACAGGUUUCUUUAGGUUUCUGUGUUGUAGUAAUUAUUCUUGCGGAGCCCACGAAUUGCAGUACUGGUUGGAUUUUUGUUUUAUUUGGCUGGCAUUGUGGUGCUGUUAAUGAUUUUAGAAAUGCUGUUUUAAGCGUUUGGAGGUCAGAUGUCAUCAGGCAUACUCAGCAGUUGGUAUGGGGUUAUUCCGCUGAUCUGCUUAUUUGUAAUCUUCACAGCUGCAUUCUACGGGCCUGGGGAAAAAAUUUAUGCUGCAAUUUUUCAAGUUUCUGGUGGUUCAUUGUUGAGUGGAUUGAUAUGGCGUUGGCGAGGUUUUUGUCUCUGAGUAAUUGGCGUCCUCUCCUGGUGUUUAAUGUUGUUGGCCUACUGAUAUUUUUGGUCAUUAGAUUUGUGGAGUAUUUCUUAUUGUUAAUCAUCUCAGCGAUUUUAGUUGGUCUGCUGGUAUGAAGGUUUGGGGUCUACGCAGUUGCUUAGUUGUUUAUUCUGUGCGCUGCAGCUGUUAUCUGUCCCGUUUUAUGCCUGCUGUCGGUGUCAUGGGUGUGGCUGUGUUAGUUUUGUGGGUCUGUGGUGCUCUACUGGGAGUGUUUAGAUGGUUGGGGGGUUUUCGGAGUUAUGCAGUUUGGCUGGAGGUGUGGUUUUUGUUUGUGUUCUAGUGGUGGCCUGAUGGUUUGAUAGUUGUUUUUUGAAGAGGAAUUCUUUUUGGCAUGCGGCCUGGUUUUGUUUCUGGCAGUGUAAGCAAGAGUUGCAUUUUUUAGUUGAGCUUAUUUGGCUGGCAUAUGUUCUGUUCAUUAGCUGGCAUUUUUGUAUUUUUAUUUUAUUUUUUCUUCUCCUGCUUUAGCGGUAGUUGUUCCUCUUUGAGUUUGUUCUCGGAGGUUUUCUAAGAGGAGUCCUCUCUUUGUAUUUUUUCUUUUCUUGUUAUAAAAUUCAUACGAGGUGCCAUCCUCAUUUAUCCAAAAAAAUAAUUAGUUUUUAGUUGUA